rnacentral:lncRNA from 1 species
GACCCGUUUGGUCGAUCAUUAGAAUUCGACCAAACAUGUGUUGUGACCAUAGUAGCGUAGGGAAUAACCUUCUGGGGUUAUACCUUAUGGUCACUUAGAUUUGAUUAGUCGCAUGAUAAGUAGUUUAUGUGCCCUUGGUAAAUUACCAAAAUACCCUCUUUAUACAUAAUUGGUAAUUAAGCAUAUGUAACUUAAAUUUUUGACACGUAACUGAUUAUGUAACAUAAUUAUACAUAUAUGGGCAUAUAAUACUCGUCAUAGGACUAGUUAGACGUCUCGAACGCAGUGUUGCGUACACGACGCAUUAAAGUAGCGUAAGCCACCUUAAUGGGUCACGAUGGGUCGAAAGCACUUAGGUUAGGUUCCGAUUUAAGAUGUAGGCUUUAAACCAGAUCACAAGAGUUCCAACACUCAUUUGGUUUACAAGACCUCAUUCUAUCCGAUCUCCCGAUUUAGGCGCCUAUUGUUUGACUAGUGAUUCGAUUAUUAGGAACUACUUGAUUUCUCUGGUUUGCUCGAGUUUGUUGAAGUUCUAUUUGAUCAAGGAUACUUUGCACUACAUGUGAGUACAUAGUUCCCCUAUUUUACUGUUUUAAAUGUUUUGGGGUGAUUCAUAUGUACCAAAUGUUUUCAAAGCUUAAACGAUGGUUUCAAAAACGAUUAUGACGAUUUUACUAAACUAAUAACGAUUUCGAUAAGGUGUACACGACUUGUUGGUUGUAAAUACAUAACGAAUGACAUUCAUUAGCAUUGAUCAAGCCGACCAGUAUUAGGUUAUGGUACCAUAGGAUCUGACAAAUCCCGUUAUUGCACUGCACCCAUAGUUAUGUGUGGGGGUUGUGGGUAACGACUGAAUCUGAUGAUUGUUAACUUACCCUUUGGUGGUUUGUUAAUACGAAACGAGAAACGAGUUAGACGAGUCACGAAGGUUUGAAUGUUAUUAACGAGACGACCAAAAGUAGUUUCACUAUUAAAAACGAAUACGAUUUGGAAACGAGUAAACGAUUUGGAAACGAGUAAACGAUUUGGAAACGAUGUUAAACGAUUUCGAUAAACGACUGGUUUUUGGUUAAGUGUUUAGAUAACGAGACGGGGGUAAUGUGGUGAAAACAUGGUAGAUACGCCGCUGGUACUUCUUAUAUAUAAGUGCUUUCAUCAUAUUACCUACCGUGGCGUUAUUUAGUUCACUUGGGUAAACGAUAUUUAAAACGAUGUCACACAAUGAUGUUUUACAAGAUGUUUUUCUAAAAACAAAAUGUUUUGGGGUUAAGAAUUAUGGCUACGAGAUUUUAUAAACUUAAUCAACUUGAUUUGAGUUGGUUAACUAUGUUGCAAUACACUUUUCAAAACGAGGUGUGGUUGAAUGAUGUGAUUUUCUAGGAUGCAUGCGUCACGUAGGACCUGGACGAGGCCUUAGUGACUUUAAAACUAUGAUAGUUGAUAAGAAACUUGUUUGUUUUAUGAUUAAGACAAUGUAAUGUUUGAUAUUAUCAAUAAAACGAAACUAUUUUU